AUGACGUCAUUACGUACACUUGAAAACAACAUGGCGGAUUUCUAGUGUGUACGGAAAGUUGUGGUCUUUCUUUACUAAAACGUAAACUGGAUAGCCAAAACUUUUUGUUUAACUAUCAAAUUAGGUUUUUAUCUGGCUAAACACUGUUAGCAUUUUGGCGGUGUUAGGACGAAACGCGUGUGUUUCCUUACCUUCACCUGCUCUCCCUCUGUACCUGUUCACUUGCUAUCCCUCUGCACCUGUUCACCUGCCCUCCUCUCUGUACCUGUUCAUCUGCUCUCCCCUUGCACCUGUUCACUUGCUCUCCCCCUAUACCUAUUCACUUGCUGUUCCUCUGUACCUAUUCUCCUCUCUGUCUGUACUUGUACUCUUGCUCUCCCCUCUGUGCUAAGAUUGGAGGCAGGUGAGAUUGGGUGGGGCAUGUGAGAAUGGGCGGGGCAGGAGAUGAGAGCAGACAGGCGAACUGUUGGAUCUCUCCCCCAGGUACACUUGCAUGGAACCCCAGUGCAGCUGGUGAGGAUCAGGAACCCCUGGGGUCAGGUGGAGUGGACUGGACCCUGGAGUGACAAGGUUCCAGCUGAACAGCGCUGUUCUCGAGGUCAUAGUCGCCCGCUAUGCUGACGCUGAGUUCGCCAUAGACUUUGACUGCUUUGUGAGCUGCCUGAUCCGGCUGGAGUUGCUUUUUAAAAUUUUCAAAACACUUGACAAGAAGAGCGCUGGGAAGAUUGAGCUGGACGUACAGCAGUGGCUAUGCCUGGGCAUCAAUUAAAACUCAGGAAAUUAUUGUCGACCAGGAAUCUUCCUCACCUUCAGAAACAGUGGAUCUAAUCAUCAGCAAGCUUUAGAUACUGCGUGUUUACUAAUUAUGCAACAAAGAUUUUUGAUUAAAGACAAGAAAAAGAUACUUGAUUAAGGAAACAAGCAACUUGAAUUACAUGCAUGAUAUCUGUAGUAUAUCAUUAGUGGUGUGAAUUGUAUGUGUUUUUAAAUUAAUAUGUCUCCACUGGAUGUUUUUUUAAAAUCAUUGAUGUGUCUUGAGUGUCACACUUUCAGAUUAGAAGUGAUCUCCCUAUGUUGAGUGUAUUUAGCCUACAUAAAACAUGGUAAGAAACACUAACCUAAUAUUAAUAUGACGAUAAAACAAUUAAUAUAAUAUCUGCAGUCCUCCAUUAAAUUACAUUUGUGUGGCGUGUGUAUAUUAUGACAUGAGUACAUGAUGUCACGUUCUAAAUUUUUAAGCAUUUCAGUUAGGAGCAGUAGGCUACAGUUGCACACCAUGGCACAGAUUUGCCCCAGAGACAUUUGCAGAUAAUAAAGCUAUAAAUACAAGAAAAAACUGCUGCAUUUCUCUCUUGGAUGCACUGUUAACACCUGUUUAAAUUGUGACUUAAACUGUGUUGUAUUCAACUCAAUAAACUACUGCAAAUUCAAAA